GACGAACGCUGGCGGCGUGCUUAACACAUGCAAGUCGAACGGAAAGGCCCUGCUUUUGUGGGUUGCUCGAGUGGCGAACGGGUGAGUAACACGUGAGUAACCUGCCCUUGACUUUGGGAUAACUUCAGGAAACUGGGGCUCAUACCGGAUAGGAUCUCCUGCUGCAUGUUGGGGGUUGGAAAGUUUCGGCGGUUCGGUCUGUACUCGCGGCUUAUCAGCUUGUUGGUGGGGUUGUGGCUUACCAAGGCUUUGACGGGUAGCCGGCCUGAGAGGGUGACCGGCCACAUUGGGACUGAGAUACGGCCCAGACUCCUAAGGGAGGCAGAAGUGGGGAAUAUUGAACGAUGGGCGGAAGCCUGAUGCAGCAACGCCGCGUGCGGGAUAACGGCCUUAGGGUUGUAAACCGCUUUCGCCUGUGACGAAGCGUGAGUGAAGGUAAUGGGUAAAGAAGCACAGGCUAAAUACGUG
rnacentral:rRNA from 1 species